GGUCCAAGUCUAGUCCCUGCCAUUUCCCCAUUGCUUGAGCAAAUUAUUUAAUUUCAGAGAGACUGAGUUGGCUCAUCUUUGAAAUAGUGAUCAAGCCUAAUUCACUGGAGUAGUGCAAAGACUAAAUGUUGUAGUCAAUGUUAAGUGCCUGGUACCAUGCCUUGGAUUGAAUGCUUACAAUGUAUGCAUUCCAUAAAAGAUAAUUCUUCAUUUUUCCUGAGGAACCUUCUGAGUUUAAGUUACUCUUUAUUUAAAUCCUCCUCAGCUUUAUAAAACACAUCAUCAUUGAAUUUGAAUCUUCCAGAGUCGUGUUUCUAACUCACAUUUUUCUCAUAAGCAGUACAAAUUUACCUGAGAUGUGACGGAUACAUAAAUUUGUUAAAUUAGCCCUUCCAAAUGAAAUAAAUAAAUGAAAGGAAAGGGAAUAAACUAUCAAAAUCCUCAUGCGUCUAUUUGUGGCUGAAGUGUUUUAUUAGAUUUUAUAACAAAGUUUAAAAACAAUAUCAAGUAGGAAUGUGUAUGUGCUUCUUAGGUAGGUAACCGGAUGAGCCCAUGUUACAAUAUGUUGAAUUUUGUCUAUAUGGGAAUGCCUUUAGGAUGCCGUCAUGGUGCCAAAACUUAAGGUGGACAGAGAAUGAGAGGAAGGCCCUGACACGCAGAGCAGGAACUGUGAUCUGCUAACCAGGGUCCAGAUGCUGGCCAGGAAAGAAUUUCAUUUCACAGUCUGCAGGGAAAAAAGGGAAAUCUAGAAAUUCCUUAAAUUGAAUAUUGUUCCUACCACACUGUUUCAUUCAGAUUCACUUACUAAAAGCUUCAAAUGUGUUUAGCAUAAUACUCUUAUUAGUACAGGCAAGAUUACAAUAAGUUGUCAUUUCCACCUUCCUGGAUCAAGUGGGAUGAAAUAAUUCUCAGGUCUUUCCUAGGUAUAAAACACCUCUGCAGAGGAAAGAGAAAAUUCACCCAGGGUUUCAGCAUGCUGGAGCAUGUGGAAUGCAAGUCUUGAAGCUUUCCAGCCAUGGCAUUUAAAAAUAAAAAUAUGAAUUGAGACAAUGCCCAAACUUUCUUAUCUCAGACAACAGUCUUCUUCAGAAGACCUACCAGGCUGAGAAAAUAGCUUUCUUUGAAGGAGUAGACUAUUUGUAAUUCCCUGGGAUCUAUCUCUCAUAAUUUUAAGAGGUUUUUUGUAAGUCAUGUUUUUCUCUGUUUUCCCUGUGACUCUUUACACCUCUAUGUCUCCAUUUUCUUGUACAACCUCAGC
rnacentral:lncRNA from 10 species